GAUGAACGCUGGCGGCGUGCCUAAUACAUGCAAGUCGAACGAACAGACGAUGAUCUUGCUCCUCUGACGUUAGCGGCGGACGGGUGAGUAACACGUGUAUAACCUACCUAUAAGUCUGGUAUAACUUCGGAAAAGCGGAUCUAAUACCGUAUAAUAUAUUGAACCGCAUGGUUCAAUAGUGAAAUACGGUGUUUCUGUCUCUUAUAGAUGGAUCCGCGCCGCAUUAGAUAGUUGGUACGUUAACGGCUUAUCAAGGCAACGAGGCGUAGCCGAAGUCAGAGAGGGAUCGCCGGCACUGGAACGGGGACAGGGACCAGACGACUACGGGAGGCAGCAGACGGGAACCUUCCGCAGUGGGCGAAAGCAUGACGGAGCAACGCGGAGUGAGUGAUAAAGGUCUCCGGAUCGUAAAACUCUGUUAUUAGGGAAGAACAGAUGUGUAAGUAAAUAUGCAGGUCUUGACGGUAACUAAUAAGAAAGCUACGGCUAACUACGUG
rnacentral:rRNA from 1 species